AACGGCCGCGUUAGCGUGAGCGUGCUAAGGUAGCGUAAUAAAUAGCCUCUCAAUUGGAGGCCAGUGAAUGGCAAGACUAGGGAUACUUGUACCCGUAUAGAAAAACAAUUUUUCAUUUGGGUGAAAAGACCUAAAUAAUAAAGGAAGACGAAAAGACCCCGCGGAACUUUACCUUUUCUACCCAUAUGCACAUAAACAAAUAACAAAAGGUUUGAUUGGGGCAAUCUCGGAACCACCCAAACUUCCAUAAAAUAAAAAAUAUAAAAUUUAAUAAGGAUCAAAAAGAAGUUACCCCGGGGAUAACAGCGUAAUCCAACUUGAGAGUACACAUCGAAAGCUGGGUUUGCGACCUCGAUGUUGGCUUAAGGAUAUCCACAUAAGUGCAACC
rnacentral:rRNA from 1 species